GAUGCUUUAUCCUUUGACAUUAAGAAUGCUGUUUGCAGAAGUAACAUUCCUUUGAACACUCAGCUUUCUGAAAUGGUGUCCCACCGCAAGGACUGGAGAAGGACACAAAGCAAAUUCGAGCGAUUUUCUUAUUUGAGUUCAAAAUGGGCUGUAAAGCAGUGGAAACAACUCGCAACAUCAACAAUCCAUUUGGCCCAGGAACUGCUAAUGAAUGUACAGUGGAGUGGUGGUUCAAGAAGUCUGGCAAAGGAGAUGAGAGCCUUGAAGAUGAGGAGUGUAGUGGCUGACCAUUGGAAAUUGACAACAACCAAUUAAGAGUGGUCAUCAAAGCUGAUCCUCUUACAAUGACACAAGAAGUUGCCAAAGAACUCAAUGUUGACCAUUCUUUGGUCAUUCAGCAUUUGAAGCAAAUUGGGAAGGUGAAAAAGCUUGAUGAGUGGGUGCCUCAUGAGCUGAGCGAAAAUUUUUUUAAAAAUCAUUGUUUUGAAGUGUUGUCUUCUCUUAUUCUACGCAACAACAGUGAACCAUUUCUCUAUCAGAUUGUGAUGUGCAAGGAAAAGUGGAUUUUAUAUGACAAUUGGUGAUGCCCAGCUCAGUGGUUGGACAGAGAAGAAACUCCAAAGCACUUCCCAAAACCAAACUUGCACCAAAAAAAGGUCAUGGUCACCAUUUGGUGGUCUGCUGCCGGUGUGAUCCACUACAGCUUUCUGAACCCCAGCAAAUCAUUACGUCUGAAAAGUAUGCUCAGCAAAUUGAUGAGAUGUACUGAAAACUGCAAUGCCUGCAGCCGGCAUUGGUCAACAGAAAGGGCCCAACUCUUUACAACGACUCUCGACCACAUGUCGCACAACCAACACUUCAAAAGUUGAAUGAAUUGGACUAUGAAGUUUUGACUCAUCUGUCAUUCACCUGACCUCCUGCCAACUGACUACCACAUCUUCAAUCAUCUCGACAGAUUUUUGCAGGGAAAAAGCUUCUACGAUCAGCAGGAUGCAGAAAAUGCUUUCCAAGAAUUCAUCAAAUCCCAAAGCAUGGAUUUUUAUGUUACAGGAAUAAACAAACUUAUUUCUCAUUGGUAAAAAUAUGUUGAUUGUAAUGGUUCCUAUUUUGAUUAAUAAAGAUGUGUUUGAGCCU
rnacentral:lncRNA from 1 species